rnacentral:lncRNA from 1 species
CGCCCAUGUCUACACCCAAACUGCAUCCAGGCCCGCUCAUGAGCCCAUUCUCAUGUGAGCCGCACCCAGCCUUCUCUCAUGAACCGCUUCUGUGCGCACACUUUCAAACCAUGCCCCACUCGCCCACGAGCCUGCUUGCGCUUGAACUGAAACACGCACCCAUAUUCCCAUCCACUGUGGUAGUCCACACUACCAACCCCAUGCACCAUGC